AGUGAAAUUACUGGGUCAUAGGGUAAGUAUUUAGCUUUUAAAGAAACUGCCAAACUGUUUUCCAAAGUGGCUAUGCUGUUUUACAUUCCCACCUGCAAU
rnacentral:pre_miRNA from 1 species